GGCAUCCUUCCCUCCAAGAACUACCCACCUUUGCUCUUGGGGAGACUCGAACUCACAACCUCUCGGUUGGAAGUGGGGUUGCUUACCAUCACAGCAAGCCCCUCUUGUCAAGGUUGACCUAUGGUGUAGAUAUCGAAAAAAUACGAUGGCUGGGUAUUUUGCAGGUAGUCUGAUUUGCAUCACUUAAUAUUUUUCCAUCAGCUUUCUAGAAAGCCAUAAGUACCUACCAUUUGCAUAUAUAGUGCCCUAACCUGUUCUAUAGAUUAUAUUUGUUAUGAUAUAUACUAUUUCUUUUUCGGUUAUACAGAGAAUAGCUGUUGGAUAUAUUAUAGCAGCUUUGUGCGAGAUAUGGC
rnacentral:lncRNA from 1 species